rnacentral:rRNA from 1 species
CACGUAGGGCGCAAGCGUUGUCCGGAAUUAUUGGGCGUAAAGAGCUCGUAGGUGGUUUGCUGCGUCCGCUGUGAAAACCCCAAGGCUUAACCUUGGGCUUGCAGUGGAUACGGGCAGACUAGAGGUAGGUAGGGGAGAAUGGAAUUCCCGGUGUAGCGGUGAAAUGCGCAGAUAUCGGGAGGAACACCGGUGGCGAAGGCGGUUCUCUGGGCCUUACCUGACACUGAGGAGCGAAAGCGUGGGGAGCGAACAGG